AUGUUGAUAAUCAAUGCUUAUUAGUUUGUUUAGCACUUUGUUUCACGAAUGCUGCUCGAUUUGAUUUGUAUGUGUUAGAUAGAGUACCGUGAGCACUGAUCGGAGAUCAGAUUUUUUUGGGGACUGACGGAACCGAACACGCCCACCACGUGGCAAAAGAGUACCGUGAGCACUGAUCGGAGAUCAGAUUUAUUUGGGACAGACGGAGCCGAACACGCCCACCACGUGGCCUUCGAACAGACAGGCAAUCAUAGGAAUUAAUCCUACACAGUGCGAAGCUUGGCAGUGGCAAG